rnacentral:rRNA from 1 species
UACAGAGGUCCCAAGCGUUGUUCGGAUUCACUGGGCGUAAAGGGUGCGUAGGCGGUUGGGUAAGUCUGUCGUGAAAUCUCCGAGCCCAACUCGGAAACUGCGUCGGAUACUAUUCAACUCGAGGAAUGGAGGGGAGACUGGAAUUCUCGGUGUAGCAGUGAAAUUCGUAGAUAUUCGGAAGAACACCAGUGGCGAAGGCGACUUACUGGACGACUGUUGACGCUGAGGUGCGAAAGCGUGGGGAGCAAACAGG